UCUCACUAGGAUUAGCAAUCAAGCAAGGAGAUGAGUGGAGGGAGUGUUCUCUAGCUCAAAUUAUGCCUCAAGUAUUGAAAAGUGCAAAGGUUAACCCCCCAAGGCCGGCCAGCCACUACUUAUAAACCCCUCAAAAAAAUAGAGCCAUUGACUCUUUUACUAGACAGAACUCGAGUGCCCCACACGCGCAGCAGGUGAGCCACCGGACGCUCGAACCCUGCAUCCGGUGCUUAGAUGACAGCCACGUGUCCACUGAUUGAAUCUUAUGUGUCAAUCGUGAGUGGGCAACAGGCACCAAAGGAAAAAAUAGCCAGAAACACAAAAAAAUUCAGCAAAAAAUAGGCACGGAAGCAUGAGAGAAAAAAUAGCCAGAAACACACACAAAAGCAGCCAGAAAUAGGCACAUUGCUUCUUGCGGCUGAGCGCAUAUGGUCUACAAGCCUAAUUUUUGAAAAUUUAGCCCUUUUUUUUAAGAAAGUUCAUAUUUAGACUCCUGCUCGACAAAAUUCUAUCUUUGGACCCAAGGAGUUGACGUCGUAAAACACGGCGUCGAGGUUAUACGUCUCGACGCCGUGAUCCACAGCGUCGAGCUCCGUGGCCGAACCCAGCGUGUCGAUUGUGUGGCUGCUCACCACGGAUUACAACGUCGAGCUCGACGCCGCAGAUCACGGUGUCGAGGUAAGAAAACAAAAUCCUUUCCCCCGCGGCCCUGUUCAGUGACAGCGCCGCCUCUUUCCUUCACUGCUCCUCCCCAUGGCCGCCGUAACCGCCGCCUGAGCCACCGCCGGAGCCCACCGGAGCCCGCUAGAGCUGCGCAGGAGCCCGCCAUAGCCACCUCCCUCGCCAUCCUCAACACCACCCGUGCCGCGCUGUGGUCAUUGGCGCCACCAUCCGCGCCGGCCGCGCCCUGCUCACCCGCGCCUCCGUCUGGUAGGCCGCUGGUCCCCGCUCGUGGACUAGCGGCUCCCCGUUCCCUACACAAGCCGACAAUGGUGGACUAGGUGGCGCCUCCGUAGUUGUGUGCCCUUGGCCAACAGUAACUGCACAGAUGGACAACGUAGUAACUCUAUAUCAUGGAGGAAGUGUGGAGGAAGAUCAGUUUGGCAAUGUUUGUUUUGUUGGAAUGCAAAGGGUGUCUUUGAUGUUUGAUGAGCGGCCAUUGUUUUCUGAAUUGAUGGGUAGUGCUCGUGAUGAGCUUAAAUGUAAUUCAAAUGAAGAUGAAAUAUUAGUUGAGAGGGUACUUCACCAUGGCCAGUCAGGGACAAUUUUUAGACGGUUGGUACCAAUUGUAUCAGAGGUUCAAUGGGAAAAAUAUGUUAAAACUGUCAUGAAGAAUGAGUUUUAAUGUUUGGAUUUGGUUGUGCGCAAGUUGUCCAAGGAGCCAGCCCCUCUAGUGUAUUCUCCUCCUAAUUGCCAACCACCCGGACAGUCCGGCACCCUCUGCUCCCCCGUUACCCAGUCACGAGGUGGGUGUGGAAGAUGUGGUUGUCGUUCCUAAUGCUCAGUCCGACCCCAAUGAGGUUGGGAUAUGUGUCAGUGGUGUUGGUGCUGGCAGCCUAGAGACUCCUAUGACCCAGAAAAUUCCAUGUAAGUGGUGUAGUUACACUUUUCAUUUCGUUAUCAUUCCUUCGUUCGAUUCCGUUGUCUCAAUUGUAUCCAUAUAUAUAGUUUUGUUAUAGGUGACCAUCCAAGUAAUAAUGGUUGUCCUCCUA